AGUGAACGCUGGCGGUAGGCCUAACACAUGCAAGUCGAACGGCAGCACAGUAAGAGCUUGCUCUUACGGGUGGCGAGUGGCGGACGGGUGAGGAAUACAUCGGAAUCUACUUUUUCGUGGGGGAUAACGUAGGGAAACUUACGCUAAUACCGCAUACGACCUACGGGUGAAAGCAGGGGAUCUUCGGACCUUGCGCGAUUGAAUGAGCCGAUGUCGGAUUAGCUAGUUGGCGGGGUAAAGGCCCACCAAGGCGACGAUCCGUAGCUGGUCUGAGAGGAUGAGCACACACACUGGAACUGAGACACGGUCCAGACUCCUACGGGAGGCAGCAGUGGGGAAUAUUGGACAAUGGGCGCAAGCCUGAUCCAGCCAUACCGCGUGGGUGAAGAAGGCCUUCGGGUUGUAAAGCCCUGUUGGUGGGAAAGAAAAGCAGCAGGUUAAUACCCCGCUGUUCUGACGGUACCCAAAGAAUAAGCACCGGCUAACUUCGUG
rnacentral:rRNA from 1 species